GAUUUGGGAGAAGGCUAAGGAAUAAUAAGCAUAAAAGGAAGGUGAUGGCUAGAAUAGUGAAAGGACCCGAUGAGAGGCAGCAGAUGGCUUCAGAAAGAACACAGUAUGAUGAGGGGAUGGAAAGAGUGAGCAGUUACAGCAAGUCAUAGGAGAGAGCACAACCCUAUGUAAAUAAAUGACAGGCACUAGGGAGCUUUGAGAUCCAUAAGCCCUAGAAAAGAGGCAGUGCCUUCCUUGGGCCAAUGUGGGAAAGAGAAGAAAUGGAUGGUAUAGCAACAUGAAGGAAUGCCCAAAUGGUUUUGAUGUAGCAACAUGCGAGGGUCAAUUCCAGAAAAAGACAAGGUGAUGGGAGUUACCCAAGAAAAGGUGGAGAGUAGAGUGUUGUGGAAGGGAGACAGGCUGGACACCAAGGGGAGUGAAGAGAAGAGGGAUAUGGCAGAGGAGGCAUCCUGAGAUUCAGAGGUGCCAACCAGAAGGAAGUGCAGAACUUUAAGGCCAGCCAGUGCAAGCAGCAGCAUAGGGAAGGAGGAGCAGGAAAAGGGUGGCUAGCAAGGAUGAUUCUGCAGCUGAGUGCUGUAGCAAGGAUAGAACCUUCUGGCCAGGCUCUUUACUAUGGAUCCGGUGGGGAUGGGGUGGGAACAGGUGAUGGGUGAGGAAAGGAUCCAGGUUUGGAUAUAGGUCUGGUUUGAUAGGAGGGCAGGGUUGGGAUUGAUAAGCUUUGGGGUGGGGAUGGGAAACAUGAGCCAAACUCCUGUCUCAGAGAAACCAUCUUCUUUUACUGAGCUUAUAGACUGAUUCCAAAUUGUGUUGGGGGUGAUGACUAAAGGUUAUAGAGAGUGUGGGGGAGUCCACCCAGAGAGGACAUAGGAGAAUGGUUGCAGGUGGUGGUGGUGGGGGAGGGAGAGAGGGAAAGUCUGGCUGGCGGGAAACAAAGGGAUGUGAGGACCAUAGGGACAAAACUCUGCAGGAGGACAAAGUCAUGGACCUGAAAAGGAGGGGUAACUUAGGGAAAGUACUAAGAAGGACAGAUUUGGAUCAAAGAUAUGGUCAUAAUUUAAGAGUCUUAAAGGAGGGGGGCAGGAAGAGAGAGUAUCAGGGUGUGUGUGUGUGUGUGUGUGUAAAGAGCAAUGUUCUAAUGCAGACAUUAGGUUUGGGGCAUGUUGGCUAUCAAAGGGUAAAUACGGGAAGGAACGUGAUGGUUCCAUGAAGAUAGUGCCAGGACAAUGUGAGAGUGGGGGCCAAUGCAGUGAAUUUGAGGAAAAAAUGUCAAUGGCAACUGAUGGAAGGCUAGGGGCCCAAGGAUGAGUGCGGCCCAGGAGUCAGGAUGGGCUUCCACAGCAGUGAUUCUUCCCUGGGGGGGGUGGGGGAGGGGGGAGGGGAUUUCCCCCCAGGGGGGUGGGGUGGGUGGGCACGACCCCCGAGGGAGGCCUAUCACAACAUCCGAAGUGGGAGCAGCACACUGCUCUAAAUCACAAAACCACCCAAAUAAAAAAAAUUCUAAAAAAAAAA